GACGAACGCUGGCGGCGUGCCUAAUACAUGCAAGUCGAACGCAGUGGGGACGGGUGAGUAACACGUGGGUAACCUCCCAUCAGAGGGGAUAACACUUGGAAACAGGUGCUAAACCGAUACUGAUGGAUGGACCCGCGGUGCAUUAGCUAGUUGGUGAGGUAACGGCUCACCAAGGCCACGAUGCAUAGCCGACCUGAGAGGGUGAUCGGGCACCAUGGGACUUGGACACGGGCCAAGCUCCUACGGGAGGCAGCAGUAGGGGAUCAUCGGCAAUGGACGGAAGUCCGGCCAAGCAACGCCGGCUGAGUGGAGAAGGGUUUCGGGUCGUAAAGCUCUGUUGUUAGAGAAGCGGUAACUAACCAGAAAGGGGCGGCUAACUACGUGCCAGCAGCCGCGGUAAUUC
rnacentral:rRNA from 1 species